CUGGCUGAUUUUCCUGAGUAAAAGCAAAUGCAGGAUUUAUAAAUGGAAAAGAAGAGGAAGGAGAGAAAUUUCACAGCCAGUCUCGAAACAAUGAGUCUUUUUUCUCACGGAUUCUGUUUCCCCACCGCCCAGCCCCUGGUAACCACCAUUCUGCUUUGUCUCUAUGAGUUUAACGUUUUUAGAUUCCACAUAAAAUUAUAUUUUGAUGGCUUUGGAUGUCCUUCCCAGUUGCUUGGGUGGACUCGCCUGAGGGAGCAAGUCGACCUUGCUGAAGAAGCGUACAUCAUGGCUGCUCAAAACCAAGCUCAUGUUCUCCUGGCCCCCAGAAUGAUUCUCAAAGGGCCAAGAACUUCAUUUCAUCGAGUCUUCAUUUUGUUUUUUGGUGUUCUGAGCUUGUGCCUUUGUUUGUGUUCCUAGUUCUUGGCCAAGUAUGGUUCUGGCUCUGUGCUGUGCUCAGCAGAGAAUUAAUCCCCGUUGGUGGCAGCAGCGAUUGAGAACCAUGGUCUGACUGUUUAAUGAUGCUUGUCAGCUGGAUAGUGGGGAAAAGUUAUCCUUUAUGUUUGAGUUUGCAAUUUACUGUUUGGUUUGAGCCCAGGCACUGCGAAGUUCCAUGUCCACCUGCGGAUUUCUGUCCAGUAGAACACAUGACUUUUGUAUCAUAGAAAUCUUAUUCUAACAUUGUUUGAUUUCUAAAAUAAAUUUUCUGGAGCUGGCCCUGAUGCCCUAGUGGUUAACUUUUGGUGUUCUCACCACUUUGGUGGCCUGGGUUAGUUUCCCAGUCGUGGAACCACACCAUCUGUCUGUCAGUAGUCAUGCUGUGGUGGCAGCUCACAUAGAAGAACUAGGACUUCAGCUAAGAUAUACAUCCAUGCAGUGGAGCUUUAGGGAGGAAAAAAAAUAGGAAGAUUGGCAACAGAUGUUAGCUCUGGGUGAAUCUCCCCUGGAAAACAAAAAAGAUAAAAAUUAAUUUUCUGAUGGCCUAUAUAAAAACUAUCACUCUAAGAACUAGCUUUACUGUCUGAUUUCUUCAUCAAUG
rnacentral:lncRNA from 1 species